rnacentral:rRNA from 1 species
ACUCAAAUGAAUUGACGGGGGCCCGCACAAGCGGUGGAGCAUGUGGUUUAAUUCGAUGCAACGCGAAGAACCUUACCUACCCUUGACAUCCCUGGAAGACUGUAGAGAUACGGUUGUGCCGAAAGGAACCAGGAGACAGGUGCUGCAUGGCUGUCGUCAGCUCGUGUUGUGAGAUGUUGGGUUAAGUCCCGUAACGAGCGCAACCCUUGUCCUUAGUUGCCAGCAUGUAAAGAUGGGGACUCUAAGGAGACUGCCGGUGAUGAACCGGAGGAAGGCGGGGAUGAUGUCAAGUCAUCAUGGCCUUUAUGGGUAGGGCUACACACGUGCUACAAUGGUCAGUACAGAGGGCAGCGAGCGCGCGAGCGUCGGCGAAUCCCUUAAAGCUGAUCGUAGUCCGGAUUGGAGUCUGCAACUCGACUCCAUGAAGUCGGAAUCGCUAGUAAUCGCGAAUCAGAAUGUCGCGGUGAAUACGUUCCCGGGCCUUGUACACACCGCCCGU